CGGGAAGAGCCCAGCUUG
rnacentral:snRNA from 1 species